GGCCGCCUGGCGUAAUGGUUAACGCGUCUGACUUCUAAUCAGAAGACUGCGGGUUCGAAUCCCGCGGUGGCUU
rfam:Fusarium verticillioides 7600 chromosome 10, whole genome shotgun sequence.